rnacentral:rRNA from 1 species
UACAGAGGGUGCAAGCGUUAAUCGGAAUUACUGGGCGUAAAGCGUGCGUAGACGGUAGCGUAAGUCGGGUGUGAAAUCCCCGGGCUCAACCUGGGAACUGCAUUUGUGACUGCAUCGCUGGAGUGCGGCAGAGGGGGAUGGAAUUCCGCGUGUAGCAGUGAAAUGCGUAGAUAUGCGGAGGAACACCGAUGGCGAAGGCAAUCCCCUGGGCCUGCACUGACGCUCAUGCACGAAAGCGUGGGGAGCAAACAGG